GAUAAACGCUAGCGGCAGGCUUAACACAUGCAAGUCGAGGGGCAGCAUAGAUUGUAGCAAUACAAUUGGUGGCGACCGGCGCACGGGUGCGUAACGCGUAUGCAACCUACCCGUCACAGGGGGGUAAUCCGGAGAAAUCUGGUCUAAUACCCCAUAACAUAUGGAUCGGCAUCGGUUCAUGUUGAAAUUUUCGGAGGUGACGGAUGGGCAUGCGUAGCAUUAGCUUGUUAGUGAGGUAACGGCUCACCAAGGCGACGAUGCUUAGGGGGACUGAGAGGUUUUCCCCCCACACUUGUACUGAGACACGGACCAGGCUCCUACGGGAGGCAGCAGUGAGAAAUAUUGGUCAAUGGGCGCAAGCCUGAACCAGCCAUGCCGCGUGCAGGAUGACGGCUCUAUGAGUUGUAAACUGCUUUUGUACGAGGGUAAAGUGGGUUACGUGUAACCUUUUGAAAGUAUCGUACGAAUAAGGAUCGGCUAACUCCGUGCCAGCAGCCGCCGUAA
rnacentral:rRNA from 1 species